rnacentral:misc_RNA from 1 species
GCUUGCUGUUGUUAACAUGGAUUGGGGUAGAGUAAAGGCAGUUGACUUGUAUAUGCUAUUGAGCUCCUUUCUCCCAAGAGGGGGUCAAAUAACAUCUGUUGCUGUCUAUCCAUCUGACUUUGGUCUCAAGCGUAUGGAAGAGGAGGCUGUCCAUGGUCCAGUUGGCCUAUUUGACGAGGAAAAGGCAAAAGAUGAAGACAGUGAUGAUGAUGAAGAAGAAGAAAAAG